GACGAACGCUGGCGGCGUGCUUAACACAUGCAAGUCGAACGGUGAAGCGCCUUCCUUUUUGGUGGGUGUGGAUGAGUGGCGAACGGGUGAGUAACACGUGAGUAACCUGCCCCCUUCUUCUGGAUAACCGCAUGAAAGUGUGGCUAAUACGGGAUAUUCUGGGUCUGUCGCAUGAUGGGUCUGGGAAAGAUAUUGUUUCGGUGGGGGAUGGGCUCGCGGCCUAUCAGCUUGUUGGUGGGGUGAUGGCCUACCAAGGCGGUGACGGGUAGCCGGCCUGGGAGGGUGGACGGUCACACUGGGACUGAGACACGGCCCAGACUCCUACGGGAGGCAGCAGUGGGGAAUAUUGCACAAUGGGCGCAAGCCUGAUGCAGCGACGCCGCGUGAGGGAUGGAGGCCUGCGGGUUGUGAACCUCUUUCGCCAGUGAAGCAGGCCUGCCUCGUUUGUGGGUGGGUUGACGGUAGCUGGAUAAGAAGCGCCGGCUAACUACGUG
rnacentral:rRNA from 1 species